ACUCCUACGGGAGGCAGCAGUGGGGAAUAUUGCACAAUGGGCGAAAGCCUGAUGCAGCAACGCCGCGUGAGUGAUGAAGGUCUUCGGAUUGUAAAGCUCUGUCUUUUGGGACGAUAAUGACGGUACCAAAGGAGGAAGCCACGGCUAACUACGUGCCAGC
rnacentral:rRNA from 1 species